rnacentral:lncRNA from 1 species
UUCAUCCUACGACUUUGGAUGGACUGUACCAUCCUUUUUCUUAUCCUUCGGUUUUGUAUUUUCCUCCCGCACAAUAUCCUUACCUUUUAUGGCUUUAUUCCUAUAUUUAUCUACUUCAUCUACAGCUUGCAGAUUUUUAAACUUUAAAAUACCUUGAAUCAUGUGGUCUUGAUUGGCAGGGUUUGUUGAUGCACGAUAAGAUUGUUGCAGCACAAUAUCCUGGAUAGUACUUGUUGGAGUAGCCUGGCUAGAGAGGUUUGUUGGGGCAUGAGUUUGUUGAGAUAGAAUAUCCUUGUUGGCGAUGUUUGUUGUGGCCUGAGUUUGUUGAGGAAGAAUAUCCUUGCUGGCGAGAUUUGUUUGGGCCUGAGUUUGUUGAGUUAUUGUGGAUGGAUC